ensembl:lncRNA
CUGCUGGCCAUCAGGAGCCGCGCGCCGCGCAGGGCCCUCUGCCGGCAGAGAAGCGCCGUCUCGCGGAAGAUGAGCGAUUGGUGCUCAGAGCCGCGGGGCGCGACUCAGCGCUGCACGUCUCGUCUGCUGCCUUCAAACAGAGCUCUCUGCUGUCGCUCUGGCCGUUACCGACCCGUGGCUCUCUAGAGGAAUAGGGACUGACUGUUCUUCGGUGAGAAACCUGCCAGAAAGACGAACUUAAACUGAGACGAUGUGUGUUUUUAAAAGCAGUCAUCCCUCCCUCCGGCAGUCCUCAGUGUGCAAAUGACUGCAUUGGAUGGAAAAAAUCGUGCAGGGACUCCCGGAAGGAGCAGCUCAGUGGCACAAAGCACUGCAGCGAUGUGCUGUGCCGGGUGAGUGCAAACAUGGCUCACGGCGCUACGUUUUAAUGAGCCGGGACAAAUACUGAAGAUCUUUGAAAAGCACAGAGGAAUGUGUACACAGAGGGAAGACGUGCUAUUUAGAUAGGCACACCCUGACCUUUGCAGGCACUGCCCGGCCAGCUGGGCUCCCGCAGCCACGGGGCCACGGGAGGUGCUGGGCCUGCAGCCGGGCUGGGGCUGCAGGGGGUGGGGAUGCUGGCAAGUUUGCCCUCUUCCACACGGGUUGUAAUUGCUGAGCUGCGGGAUGGUGAUGAAAUUCAGGCAGGAAGUGCAGGGUUUCCUUGGGCCUGCAGUGCUAGCAGGAAGCAGCGGCUGAGCGGUCGCUGCUGCGGGGCGCACAGCUCUGAGAAGCGCGUGUGCUGGCGGGGGUGGCAGCGUGGCUUCACUGCGAGGUCCCAGAGCUGAAUGAAAGCUGCUGAGAUACAAAGAGAGUUGGCAAUAUAAGGAAAUGGCGGCUGCAAUGGAGCACACUGCUGGAAAGCAUUGUAUUUCUGGAGUUUGAAUGAUGUCAAUGUAUUUACUGAGAAGGAGGUGAGAUCAAUCUGCUGAGAUGCAAGGAAAAUGGGGGAAAUUCACUUCCUUUUCUUUUGCUCAGAGUGUUUGCAGAGCUGCAGUGCUCCCGGCUCGCAACAGCCACAGCACCACCCUUGUGCUACCUCAGACGUUUACCCGGACUGCUGCUGCCUCUUUAAGAGGAAGAAUGAGCACAGUUUUAAAUGCAUUCUCUCUGCAUUUCAGAACGGCCUGCGCUUUGCCCACCCCCACUCCAGCACACGCAGGCUCCUGCAGGUUUGGGAACGGCACAUCAGUUCAUUGCUGUUGCAGUGUUGCAAUGCCUAAAGCCCUUCACAAAACAAAGCUCCCAGUGCCUUUGCUGCCUGUUUGGAUACCUCCAUUUCCAGCUGCUGGUGACAUGUUUCCCAUGGGCUGCUCAGACAGGAGCUGCCUCUCAGUGUGAGGAGCUCUGUGCAGCUGGUAGGUGCUGCCCAGACAUGCAGCGAGCCACUGCAAUGCUGGGGCACAGCAGCAGAGCACUGCUUUUCUCCACCGCAGUCAGCUCAAGAAUGCUGAGGGCAGCAAAUGUCCUCCUGCCUAAAUACCCAGGAGGGAGCUGUUAUCAGCGAGGGGCAGAAGGUGAAGCUCUGGGCUCUGGUGGCAUCCCGAGAGGUGCCAGCCGCUCUGCCAGCACUUCCCCCAGCGUGGGGUGGCCCCACAGAGAUGUGGCAGCACUCCAUGGUGUGGAGGAAAGGUUGGCCUGGGGAGGUCCACUGGCAGCAAUAGCAUGUUCAUCCCUCAGCAGGUUUUAAUCACUGUUGGCAUGUUGUGCUGAAGACCAAAGCUAAUGAAGUCUCCAUACACACACAGGACAUGAAGUGCCCCAGACCCAAGCACUGUGUGGGGAUGCAGGUGCUGCCGACCUCUGCGCUGCUCCCACUGCUUUCCCAGAGCACAGAGUGGCAGUGAGCAGCGUCACUGAAAUGCCGAGACGGGAAGCAGUGGCUGCAGCUCUGCCUGCUGCUCUGUGCGUUUGCCAUGCAAAACUCCACCAAAGCUUCUGGAGGCUGCGUGCAGUCCGGAGCAGUUUCUGGAACCAGAGGCAAAGCGUAUUUCAUGCUGCUGUGUCUUCAACCACCAUUAUUUGCUCAGGUCUGUGAAGCAGGAGCAGCAGCACACCUCUCAGGGGACGUCCUUGUUUUCUUCUCCAGGCAUGAGUCUGGCAGCCACAGGGCAGCACAGAGAAUUAAAAAUGGACUUCUGCAGGAGGAUGAGAGGCUGCGAGCCUGAUGAUUAUACCUCUGUCUGCAAGCUCACCUGCAGCCUGGAGGCAGACAACGCUGUAUGCCUGAGGACAGGCACCUCCUGCUGUACUGCCCCUGCUCUGCUCACACACCACAGCUCAGGCUCCAAUAGGUGCGUCCUCUUUAGGGAAACAGAAAUGUACUUCAAAACUUUAAAUCCGUGGCUGCUUGUGCUACUGGGAUCGCUGCUGGGAGGGAGGUUCCCCCACUGCACGAGUCCAUUCCUCCACCUGAACGGCACAGCAGCCCUUUUCUGCUCACUGUAAUUUUGAUUUUAAAAGCAUAAAAGCAUGUGCAUUAUCUUCCAUUCCCAUGCCACACAGAGCUGCAGAGUGUGAAUGAAAUCCCAUGUCAGAUGAAAAUGGGAAACGUAGCCACAUGCUUACAUAUGAUUCUGUGUUAGGAGGUUGGGACUUUGGCAGGACGUGUUCAGCUCUGCUGACAGGUUUGUGUGUGCUCAGUGGGACUCCCACUGGGUUCUCAGGAGCUCUGCAGCCCCGUGUGCAGCACUGCUGGUGCCCGGCUGCCAUCCUGGACGAGCACUGUUUUCCAGAUUUGACUCUUCUUUAUUGUGUGCAAACUGAAGUCCAUUUGCACCCUCUCCAGUGGCCCUGCAGCUGCCAACGUUACCUCAGACACCUCCAGAACGUCUUCUGUGGAAGCUGGUGUUAAGUGAUGUUGGACACACCUCUGCAGGAGCAGCAUUUUCCUCCUGCGUUGUGUGGCACAUUGUGGCACGCAUGCAGAUGCGGGUGGAUGGGAUCCCUGUAACACCACAGGUAAUGCAAAAGUUGUAAAUGGUCCGUGAUAGGAGCAUGCUGCACCACGCUGCUCGGGAAGGUCUGCCAGGAAGGUCUGCUUAAACAGAGCUGUAAUUUGUUGAAAUAACACUGCCCAUCAGAGACCAAUAUAGCAGGUUAACUAUAGCAGGAAGGCUGGGAUUCUGGCUGGCGAUGGAGCAUGAACAGCCUGCCCACAGGUGGAAGCAGCCAGCAUGUUCCUCAGUGCUUCUGCCAAACUAAAUGAGCAGCAGUGGUGAGAAACACAAUCUCCUCGGGGGAGGAAGCAGGAGAUGUGCUCCCAUUGCUCAGCAGAUUUGAAAGAGCAGCAGAGAUCAGUGCUGGCUCUCCUGUCACACUGUACGUCAUUGCUUGCCCGUGGUUCAAGGACCUGGAGCUUUUUUGAGAGCUUUGCGUAUGAUGAAAGUCUUCCCCACACAAACAGCUCAAUCUCACAUAAAACUAUCCAGCAUUAUCGCGUUGGGCUUGGGACUCACAGGACCUGAGCUCAAGUGUUUUGCCAACAACCCCCUCUGUAGUUUUAGGUUGCUCGCUUAUGUUGUUACCUGUUGCCCACCCAUGGAAUUGCAGAAGGUGUUCCCCAGCCCUGUGCCCUGCCUCCAGCAGCAGGGAGGGUUGCUGCAUGCGGUGGCUGUGAGCUGGGGGGUCGGGAUGCAUUCACAGUGCACUUCUGUAGCACAGUGCCAAAACCCAACAUCUGCUUCCCAGUGACUUUUUCCACUCACAACCUUGUUAUUUCUCAUCUGUGAUUACAAAACUCGGGUGUUUACCAGCACCACGUGCUCAAAAAGACAUGGAUCUGCAUUUUUCAGAUUCCUUCUGUGAAAUACAACCCUGUUUCCAGACAGGAUGUAGUGUUGGCAGAAGUGCAGAUUUCUCACAUGAGGAACAGAGCCUGAAGGUUUCAGGGCUGCUGUGCUGCACUGUGGAUGCAAAGCACCACACACUGGCAGAGCUUUGCAUGCUGCUGGGGAAUGGAGACCCACAGAGCCCAUGGAUAACCUGAUCCCGAGUCAGGAGCACACAGGGGGGACAGAGAGGCUGUAAAAGUAACUCCUGUGCAGCCCGAUCCCAUGCAGUGAAUUCUCACAGCCCACACGGAGCUGUUUCCCAGUGACUUCUGUGCAGCCACGGGCAGCCAACAAGUUGCUGCACAGCACUGCGUGCUGCUAUACACCGCUGCGUGCUGCUGCAUGCCACAACAUGAUGCUGCACACUGCUGCAUGCCUCUGCUACACCGCUGCACGCCGCUGCACACUGCCACAUGGCUUCAGAACCAGGAACCAGCUGAAGAGCUCACAGCAGGACUGAAAAGCCAUGCUGGGCCACAGUGUGCAGGACUGAGCCCCCACAGACCGCGUUUCAUUGACUCACAUGGUAACAUUUUUCUCUUUAGCAUUUCCAGUAACAUUGCAACACAUUUCACAGAAUGCUCUAUUUAAGGUCAUACCCUUGGCCGUUUGCUACUAAAACCUCACAAUUGUAAUUUUCCAGUACUAAGAACAAAGCGACUGGGAAUGGCUGUGAUGCAGGCAGGGAAAGGGUUGGGAGGCCGCAGGUGCUUACAUGGAGAGGUGCCAUUCCAAGCACAGGGAAGCAGUCGGCGGCAGAGCACACCAGGCAGAACGUGCUGGUACCUGAGCAGGACACUGCCAGUGCACAAAGAAAACUCCGGAGAAUGUUUCCACGUUGGGAUGUAACUCUGAAUGGAAAAGGUCUUCCAGAAGUUGGCUCCAGACCCUCAUCCUCGGUCGGUGGAGUCACCGACCCUGGUGGUGUUCAAAGAGCGUUUGGAUGUUGUGUUGAGGGACGUGGUUUAGUGAGAACCAUUGGUGAAGGGCGAAUGGUUGGACUGCAUGAUCCUGUGGGUCUUUUCCAACCUUAGCAAUUCUAUGAUUCUAUGAUUGUAUGAGCCUUCUUCAGGUGCUGUAAUACAGUUUUAGGAGGUUCCUGGCCAAAGUGCUAACAGUGGAAUACUGGCACUGUGCAAUUCCAGUGGAGCUGUUCAGCCCAUCCCCGCUCAUCCGCAGCCCCCACUGCUGCACAGAUCCGUUCCUGGGAGGCACUGCUGGCACUCGCAGUGCGUGGCUCUGCUGGCCCUGCUCGGCUCCUCUCACUGCAGCCCCAAAACUGCUCUAUCCACCGCGGGCUUUAACUUCCAUCAGCAUAUCAACCUGAUUUCUGCUAAUAGGAAAAUGAAAUGUGUCUUUCUGUCUCCAUUUUGCAAAAGAUAAAGAACUAAGAGUGUGCGUGACAUGACAGAACCUCAAUCUGACCUUCUCCUUGGGCAUUAUUAAUAGUAAAUGCAUAUCGGGUGGUUUCACAACGACCUUGAGAGCGAGUGACACAUCUCACCUGCUGGGGCACAGCUCCCCAGGCAUUUUGGAAAAGGAAAUCCUUAUUUCUAUUAACUUAUGGGGAAAAUGGAAGCACUGCGGUGUCCAUGCAGAGGUUUUUCCAGUGUCCCAAAACGCCCGAUGCAGAAAUGCCCGCGGGUUUGGGGGCUUACCUGUAAGCACUGUAUUUACUGUGGGCUAAUGAAGAAGAAAUAAAAUUCAACUUCAACCUCCUUCCAAUUUGCAAGUUAUGAAAAAUGCUUCUAGAAGGGAGCUAAUAAAUGUGAUGGAUGUGCUCGGUGG